rnacentral:lncRNA from 1 species
UUAUUUCCUUUUAGUUGUUUAUUUUGCUUUUUAGUAUAAUGCAUGAGUUUGACGAGUCACCAAAUAUAGUAGAUCUUUAGUACAAUCCUACCUCCCCAUACCUUUAGCCCCACCGAAUUUUUUUUUGCAAAAGAAAAUAGUGUUAUUUCGAAAGUUUUCAGGUUUUAAAGACAUGUUUUGAGUAAGGAUGCGGUGACUUGGGAGAACUUUGCGAAACAUCAGUAUCUGUUUU